rnacentral:rRNA from 1 species
ACGAACGCUGGCGGCGUGCUUAACACAUGCAAGUCGCACGGAAAGGCCCUGCUUUUGUGGGGUGCUCGAGUGGCGAACGGGUGAGUAACACGUGAGUAACCUGCCCUUGACUUUGGGAUAACUUCAGGAAACUGGGGCUAAUACCGGAUAGGAGCUCCUGCUGCAUGGUGGGGGUUGGAAAGUUUCGGCGGUUGGGGAUGGACUCGCGGCUUAUCAGCUUGUUGGUGGGGUAGUGGCUUACCAAGGCUUUGACGGGUAGCCGGCCUGAGAGGGUGACCGGCCACAUUGGGACUGAGAUACGGCCCAGACUCCUACGGGAGGCAGCAGUGGGGAAUAUUGCACAAUGGGCGGAAGCCUGAUGCAGCAACGCCGCGUGCGGGAUGACGGCCUUCGGGUUGUAAACCGCUUUCGCCUGUGACGAAGCGUAAGUGACGGUAAUGGGUAAAGAAGCACCGGCUAACUACGUG